GAUGAACGCUAGCGGGAGGCCUAACACAUGCAAGCCGAGCGGUAUUGUUUCUUCGGAAAUGAGAGAGCGGCGUACGGGUGCGGAACACGUGUGCAACCUGCCUUUAUCUGGGGGAUAGCCUUUCGUAAGGAAGAUUAAUACUCCAUAACAUAUUGAACGGCAUCGUUUAAUAUUGAAAGCUCCGGCGGAUAGAGAUGGGCACGCGCAAGAUUAGCUAGUUGGUGAGGUAACGGCUCACCAAGGCGAUGAUCUUUAGGGGGCCUGAGAGGGUGAUCCCCCACACUGGUACUGAGACACGGACCAGACUCCUACGGGAGGCAGCAGUGAGGAAUAUUGGUCAAUGGGUGCAAGCCUGAACCAGCCAUCCCGCGUGAAGGACGACUGCCCUAUGGGUUGUAAACUUCUUUUGUAUAGGGAUAAACCUACCCUCGUGAGGGUAGCUGAAGGUACUAUACGAAUAAGCACCGGCUAACUCCGUGCCAGCCGCCGCGGUAAGAC
rnacentral:rRNA from 1 species